rnacentral:rRNA from 1 species
UCCUACGGGGGGCAGCAGUGGGGAAUAUUGGGCAAUGGAGGCAACUCUUACCCAGCAAUGCCGCGUGAAUGAAGAAGGUCUUCGGAUUGUAAAGUUCUUUAAUUGGGGACGAAAAAAAUGACGGUACCCAAGGAAUAAGCCCCGGCUAACUACGUGCCAGCAGCCGCGGUAAUACGUAGGGGGCAAGCGUUGUUCGGAAUGACUGGGCGUAAAGGGUGCGUAGACGGGACAGCAAGUUAGUUGUGAAAGCCCUCGGCUUAACUGAGGAACUGCAACUAAAACUAUUGUUCUUGAGUGCAGGAGAG